rnacentral:rRNA from 1 species
CCUACGGGUGGCAGCAGUGAGGAAUAUUGGUCAAUGGUCGGGAGACUGAACCAGCCAAGCCGCGUGAGGGAGGAAGGUACAGAGUAUCGUAAACCUCUUUUGUCAGGGAACAAAGGCGGGGACGUGUCCCCGGAUGAGUGUACCUGAAGAAAAAGCAUCGGCUAACUCCGUGCCAGCAGCCGCGGUAAUAGGGAGGAUGCGAGGGGUAUCCGGAUUUAUUGGGUUUAAAGGGUGCGCGGGCGGUCUGUUAAGUCAGCGUGAAACGCCCGGGGCUCAACCCCGGCACGCCGUUGAACCUGGCAGUCUCGAGUGGGAGAGAAGUAUGCGGAAUGCGCGGUGUAGCGGUGAAAUGCAUAGAUAUCGCGCAGAACUCCGAGUGCGAAGGCAGCAUGCCGGCUCCACACUGACGCUGAGGCACGAAAGCGUGGGUAUCGAACAGGAUUAGAUACCCUUGUAGUC